rnacentral:lncRNA from 1 species
AUGAAAAAAAGAAUGAGAAACCUACAUACCAACCAUGUCAGUGCGCUUCUCAGCUUCUUUGUGGUGCCUUCAUCCAGAGAGAAAUGCACAGGACCAAGGGCAGCAGCACAUCACAGAGACUUACAUGGUGACUCCCACCACCACCACUUGCAGUAUGCCAGAGGACCCUCUGAAACCUUGAGGUUCUGCACCAGUUAAAAUUACCAUUAUACUCUCAGAGGUUCAUUCAUGGUCAGAGGAUUGGAGUAUAGAUUUCUCAACUGGGAAAUAGUUCAGUGUGCUGUGAAAUUGGCUUUACCAUGAGACAACAGGGAAUCCAAAGCAGUUGCCCAUCCAGAGAGGUUAGUGGCCACUUUCUCAUUACCUAAAAACUUAAUAAAACUUUUGAAACAUAUUUUAAUGUGAACA